CAGUAGCCGCGGUAAUACGUAGGGUGCAAGCGUUAAUCGGAAUUACUGGGCGUAAAGCGUGCGCAGGCGGUCCGCUAAGACAGAUGUGAAAUCCCCGGGCUUAACCUGGGAACUGCAUUUGUGACUGGCGGGCUAGAGUAUGGCAGAGGGGGGUAGAAUUCCACGUGUAGCAGUGAAAUGCGUAGAGAUGUGGAGGAACACCGAUGGCGAAGGCAGCCCCCUGGGCCAAUACUGACGCUCACGCACGAAAGCGUGGGGAGCAAACAGGAUUAGAUACCCGUGUAGUCCCUGUCUCUUAUAC
rnacentral:rRNA from 1 species